AAGACCAGAGUCAGUCACUCCUGCUGGGACGGUGACUCCUCCCUCUGCUGCAGUCUCUUGGAGGAAGUGCCCAGGUAGCAACUGUGGCUAAUAUUUCAGUGGGACUCCUGCUGUUUCCCCUGGUGAAAGCAUUCUCCUUUUUGGAAAUCGGAUCAAUAAACCUGGGGAAUCCAGAGCAGCUGGGUAGGAGUGAUGGUAGGUGGGGAAACCCCAGCCUCUACCCUGUGUCGUCUGCCUGUUAGGAACACAGCACCAGGGAAAAAAAAGUUGUCAAGAGUAUGUGUGGCACCCUGGGAGAUCGCAGCCCAUCCUAAGGUACCACCUGAGCUUGUGCUUUAGCUGUGCCUACAAAAGGCUUUUCCUUGGCUCUGUCGCAAACAGCUUCUGCGUUGGUAUUGUGUAUGGCAUGACCAGUGGAUUUCACAGCCUUAUGCCCCUCACACACCUCCUUUAUUGUAAAAUGGGUCCCUGGGGCUGACUCAGCAGGAAAGGGGAGCCCAGUGGAUCAAACAUUAUGAGCAGGAAAGGCAAAUCCAUACCCACCAUAUGCGUCUGUUUCUCUUAUCAAAACGAAUUCUUACUCUUGUGCUCACGUGGCUGACUGGCAGCUGCGGCUCACUGCCACUGCCCAACGUCGUGGGAGAAUACUGUGCCACAUAUGGCUAGCGCACAGGAAAAGACCAAAACUCGAAGUGUGGUUUCGACUGAAUGCAUACUGCUUUCGCACCAUCAUAAAGUUGAAAAAUCAUGAGUUGAUGCACUGUAAGUCGGGGACUGUUUGCAUAUGACGGCAGAGGGUGGGAGAAUUAACAUAGCUCUCAGGCAAGACCAAAAUAUAUACUGUUGUCUGUUCCAAGUGAAUAUAAACUAUUUGUGAUCCUUUCUGUUUGGGGUGGAAAAGUCUGCUGUCAUCAACCAGUGGCCACAUGUCUUGUGCCUGAGACAGUGUGUGUCUCCUCUAGCAAAGAUGCCACGUUUGACACGGCAGCUGCAAUUGCAGUAAUUCACUCUCACCCUUCCAGCUGCCUCUCGUGUUUGCAGGAACCAGACUGUCAAAUGAAAUGAAAUACGAUGGGACCACUGGCCGCUGAGUAGGCCCAUAAACGCCGAGGACCAGUGUGAGCCUCGCCCGGUCUCAGGUGCCCCCAGUCUAACAAGGGGCCCCGAUGACGCUGCAUGCCUUGGUUCCAUUCUCAGCUCAGGCCCUCUGUUCAGCAGUCCUCAAAACGCGUGGGCAUUCCCUUUCCCCAGUGGACGGUUACCUGAGUCAAUGGGGUUACCUGAGUCAAUGGCCGUCGGCUCUUUUGUGGAAGGAGUGCGGGGAAUUCUUACCUUAUCCAUUUGGUGUUGCAGCGUUCCCUCCUCCCGAAGACUCAGUCUGUCCUUCUGUAGAUAAAAGUUUCAGUCUGAAAGUGGCUCAGACCCCGAAACUGGGCAAGGGAUCAUGACUGGUUGUUGGGGCCACCUGUUACCCAUCCUUGCGGUAUUUUGGUGGGAAAGAUUGAGUAGCCUACUUGUUGGCUACCCGUCGAUCUCAGUCAGGGGUUCAUCAUUCUGUGAACAAACGCCGUAACUCACCAGGUGAGCCCACCCUCUCUAAUGUUUCUUGCCCCUUAUAAUUGCAUUCACCAGGUUUCUGACCAUAAGCAGUUAAGCACUGCCACCUGGUCUCUUAUUUCAGGGUCCCAUGAUCUUCAUAUUUUUUGAAUAUCUUGUUCGAUAGAUCGUACCCACUGUUACACCACCCUAGUUGCCCACUGGUGGAAGUUUUAGGACUUGCACACUCAGGAGCUGCUACCGUGUGCCAGGUAGCACCUUUGUGCUCCAUCCGCCAUCAGUGCUGAAGUCCUUACCAUCCACGCCAGCCAGCAAGUAAACAAUGGAAUCUGCUGUGUGAAACUGCUGCAUCCGUUCCCUUUGCUUUAGGGAUAAAGUGACCUUUCCCAGAAUCUAUGAUUUGGGGCUGCCUUUGACAUCUGGAGAUUGUCCCCCAAGCUGUCAUCCAGGAACUUCUCAGGAACUACUCCAGGCUAUAGAAACAGAUGCUAAAGGCAGUUUUAGUCACAGAAAGAUUUACAUUUCCUUUUGUCUGCGGGCUCCUUUGAGAUGUUCAGGGCUCUGCAGGGUGCCUGUUCUCUAGGUGGAGAGGGUGCAGAGCUGAUUUAUUUCAUUCCUUUCACUAACCACUUACUCUGUGCACACAAAACUAUAUUCCCUUAUGUGGAGUUGUUGGUAAAGCAAAUUAAGACCUUGUUCACUUUUAUUUCUCAAGACCCUAUGCUGGGUCUAUAAGAAAGUAGUAUAGGAGAAAUGCAACAUUUCUAAUAAAAAUGCUACUUCCCUGCA